AUGGGUGACAGAGACCGGCAGCCCAGCGAGGGGAGGAUGCCUCUCCGCCUUGGUGAGCUGAAAAUCAGCGAGGACAGCUGCUCCACUGUCAGACACCCUUCUGCAUAUGCAUCUGGAGAGGGAACUUGGAAUCAUUUGGCUGGUGAAGGAAAGCAGAAGGAGACGCCAACUGUAUACAAAACAGCUGACACAGUGGCCGCCCGUGCAGCACGUCAUUCCCGUCAGCCUACUCCAAAACACAAAGAGCAACCAACAUAGAAACAACAACAAACAGCCAUUCAUCUCUGGGGUUGCACGAUAAAGAACCCAAGAAUGAGCCUGCCCAAGAUCUGGUACGAUAAAGUGUCCAUGCUGUGGAGGAUGCUACUCCAGCCAGGACAUCAAUGACAGGAGCUGGUGCUUCUGUGCAGUAUAGUAAGCACUUGGAGAGAAGUCCAGAAAUCCGAGCAUGGUCAUACCUCGGCAGAUGAUAUUGCCUUCCCUGAGUUCCUCCUGCACGCUUCCCAAACACCAGCCCCAGCCCAGGGUCUGGCUGCAUACCUGUUUUCAACACUCCCUGGUAACAUCUGAAAAAUAUGGACAACAAAGUGAGGUUCCUUUAAAAAAAAUACAUUUUUAAAUGUUUAAAAAUUUUAAAUGCUCUUGAUUUUGUGAAAAGAUGGUUAUAAGUGAUAGUGGUAGAAGUAACAGCAAUAUUUGUUGUGCUAAUGCUUCAAUAAAAUGUGAGCAAUCGUGUUUUCCAUUAAAAAGUAUUCGAUUGUUAAAUCUAAAAUCUGGCAGACUGAGGACAUAGCUCAGAAAUAGUAUGUGCUUAGCAUCCACAAGAGCUUCAGUUCAAUAUCCAGUACUGUACUACUACUAAUAAUAAAGGCCAUAAAAAUCCAGGGACUUCUGAUACAAUGAAUAGAAAUUGUGACUGAAGCCAGCCACACCAACAUAUGUGACGAUAGUCCUGGUUACUCCAGAGGCUGAGACAGGAGGGUCUUGUGAGUAUAAAAGUUUGAUGCCAGCAUAGGCGACACAGUGAGACAGCCUAUCUCAAAAAAGAAAAUAUGAAACUAGCUGAAGUCAGGUAAAUUUAGUUUACAUACCAGAUUUGUCAUUUACUGACUGUAUGACCUUUAAGACUCAGAUUUCUCACUUGCAGAAUACAGGUAGCCACAGCGCCUACCUCAUACAUUUGUCAUGAAUGCUACUGGGACAGUGCAGAAGAUGCUUAGUGUAGAGCACAGUAUAUGGUAACACUCAAGUGUCCACUUCAAAGAAAGAGUUCAAAGAAAGGCCACCUGUCACCUCUGGUCCUCAGGUCGCUCAUCUCUCAGAUGAAACAUUUGUCCUACUACUUACCCUCUAAUUGUGACAGUUCUACAUUCUGCCCCCACGACUUGUCAUGGUGUAUGUGUCCCCUCCAAACUUCAAGUUGAAAUUUAACUGUCUCUGUGACAAAAUGAGGAGGGGGGACAUUAAGUCGCAGGGCUUCAUUGCAGGAGCAGGUUAGUUAUGGCAGGGUGGCUUUCUUAUAAAAAUCAAUUGUUAAAUAAAACUUGAAAAGCUUUCAAAAAAAAAAAAAUCAAUUGUUUGUCCUGCGUGCCAUCAUUAUGUGAUGCAGAAGGAAAGCAUUUUCCGGGUGUCAGCGCCUGAACUCUGUAAUCCACAACUGUAAGAAAUAAAUUUCUGCAUAAAUGACAAAGUCCACAAUAUUUUCUAAUAGCCACAGAAAAUAAACAGACAUGGUUCUAACCCUACUCUGAGGCCA
rnacentral:lncRNA from 1 species